rnacentral:rRNA from 1 species
UAGAAUUGACGGGGCCCGCACAAGCGGUGGAGCAUGUGGUUAAUUCGAUGCAACGCGAGAACCUUACUAGGCUUGACAUCCCUGGAAUUUUGUGGAAACACAAAAGUGCCUUUCGGGGAACCAGGAGACAGGUGCUGCAUGGCUGUCGUCAGCUCGUGUCGUGAGAUGUUGGGUUAAGUCCCGCAACGAGCGCAACCCUCAUCCUUAGUUGCCAUCAUUGAGUUGGGAACUCUAAGGAAACUGCCUCGGUUAACGGGGAGGAAGGUGGGAUGACGUCAAGUCCUCAUGGCCUUUAUGUCCAGGGCUACACACGUGCUACAAUGGUCAGUACAAUGGGUUGCCAAGCCGCGAGGCGGAGCCAAUCCUAAAAAGCUGGCCUCAGUUCAGAUUGCAGUCUGAAACUCGACUGCAUGAAGUCGGAGUUGCUAGUAAACGCAGGUCAGCUAUACUGCGUUGAAUACGUUCCCGGGGCUU